AUCUCAUCCAAUCGAAACGCAAGCCAGUGCUCGCCUGAAACAUGAAAGGACGGUGUAACAGAAAAGUGCUCCGCCGGGAAAGCAGGUCUAGAGCAGACGCUAGACGGUGCGCGUGCCGGCUGGAGGAUGGACGGUGCGGUCGGUAGUCACGUGACCUCCACAUAACGGAAACACUUGAAACGUUGUCUUUCUCCGUCAGAGCGUAAUAUAAACACUAAUUAUUACAGGCGGGGAAGUAGGUUUUGGGCGGAAAAAAAAAAGAUAUAUCAACACCAAGAUGUUUCAGGGUGUUGAUGAAUGUUCUGUAACAGCACUGUUCUGACAAUAAUGCCGACUGGUUUAUAUUAAUGCACUCGUGCUAGUAUGUUAUUGUUGCUAUAUUAACAAACACUGUGACAUAUAUGCAGUCAGUGGUAACAACACAUUCACAGGGACUUGUGCCAAAUAAUUAUCUGAUGAGUUGAGUUAGGUGAAUUACAUUGGGUAGGAUGUUUAACUGAACUAUUAAUCUUCAGGACUGGAGUCUGACCCCCUGCUAUAAAGCAAACAAUUACAACACAAGAGUAAAUGAGAGAUUAGAUGUAAUACGUCACUGGUAGUAACAAGGGGGGAAAAUAAUAACAUGUAAAUAUGGUAUAACAUACAUUUUUGGAAAGAAAAUCUGGCCUGUGUAAAUUUCACAGAAUAUUUAUUCAUUUGUUUAUUUGUUUGCUUGCUUGCUUGUUUGUUUGUUUGUUUGUUUCUUGUUAGGCUUUCUUAAACGUAAUACGUGAACGUCACAGAGUAUGAGAUGCACCAGGAAUAAGUCUUUUAACAGAAGGAAUGUUAAAUGGUUGGUCAUAUCUCCUGCAUUGUGUACCACCACUGUCUGUAAGUUAAGGCUUACCUUGCAUGGGAGACACAUUCUUUGGCCUGUGUCCUGAUUUUGGCAGAAACGUGGGCCACGGUGAGCUGAGCCUCCUCUCUCUUUUCCUUGAGGCAUGGGGCAGAGCUUCUCUUCAGCUACUCCACGUGAGCCUGAAUCCAGAAGGCAACACAACAGACUGGGCAUGGAACACAAUGAAGACAUGGUGGGAGCUGGCCCUGAAUGGAGCUAUAUUUGUCUCCUACACAAAAAGGGGAAAGAAGAG